rnacentral:rRNA from 1 species
UACGAAGGGGGCUAGCGUUGUUCGGAAUUACUGGGCGUAAAGCGCACGUAGGCGGCUUUGUAAGUUAGAGGUGAAAGCCCGAAGCUCAACUUCGGAAUUGCCUUUAAGACUGCAUCGCUAGAAUUGUGGAGAGGUAAGUGGAAUUCCGAGUGUAGAGGUGAAAUUCGUAGAUAUUCGGAAGAACACCAGUGGCGAAGGCGACUUACUGGACACAUAUUGACGCUGAGGUGCGAAAGCGUGGGGAGCAAACAGG